AUAAGACUGAUCAAUCAGACACACAAGAAUCUGCACUUCCUGCACACUGUGGGCUUAUUACUAUAAACCUAUCAUGUGUGUGUGCAGUUUCUGUCUCUGUAACUGUCAUCUGUUCCUCUCUGUACUGUUCCAAGCUACAGGAGGGUUUUUCUACCUGGGACUCAAACAAUAAGGCAGCUGAGCUGGAACCAUCUGAUUUGACCUCUGUGACCUACACAAGUGUCUCCUGAUGGCCCAGAUAAGGACAAGCAUGAGGAUCACAAACAGAGAACCUCCUACAAGCUGAUUACAACAUUACAGACGCUGUGUACUAAAUAAUUAAUGCUGUCUAAUGUCUGCUUUUGAUGGAAAUAAAAUGGGACAAACUUCUUCUA